rnacentral:rRNA from 1 species
GACGAACGCUGGCGGCGUGCUUAACACAUGCAAGUCGAACGGUAAGGCCCUUCGGGGUACACGAGUGGCGAACGGGUGAGUAACACGUGGGUGAUCUGCCCUGCACUUCGGGAUAAGCCUGGGAAACUGGGUCUAAUACCGGAUAGGACCAUGGACUUCACGGUUUGUGGUGGAAAGCUUUUGCGGUGUGGGAUGGGCCCGCGGCCUAUCAGCUUGUUGGUGGGGUAAUGGCCCUACCAAGGCGACGACGGGUAGCCGGCCUGAGAGGGUGUCCGGCCACACUGGGACUGAGAUACGGCCCAGACUCUUACGGGAGGCAGCAGUGGGGAAUAUUGCACAAUGGGCGCAAGCCUGAUGCAGCGACGCCGCGUGAGGGAUGACGGCCUCGGUUGGUAACUACUUC